GCUUACGGCCAUACCACCCUGAGCACGCCCGAUCUCAUCUCAUCUCGUAAGUUAAGCAGCGUCGGGCUUGUUAGUACUUGGAUGGGAGACUGCCUUGGAAUACCAGGUGCUCUAAGCU
rnacentral:rRNA from 1 species